AUUAACUGGAAAUAUUUAUCGAAUGUUAAGUUAUUUAUUUUGUUUUUUAAAGAUAAGAAUGUUGCACAGAAAGUUUCACAAAAACUUUUUCAGAUAAGUUACUAUUCGUAAAAUUGACGAUUCAAAAAGAUGUUUUAUGGGAGUAAACUUUACGAUGGAUCUAAAAGUGAUGUUUGCGUUUUACAGAAGUCCCCGUUUAUAAAACGUUUUCCGUGAUGGAACUAUAAAAAUGAUAAAGGUUAAAACUCAACUUAUAUAGACUAAAAACCAUAAGUUAAACGUUUUCCAAAAUGGCAAAGCUUAUGAUAGCGCUCAUGGUUUUUUCUUUUUUUGCCUUAUUAAAUCGUGCAGAUUCAUGUCAAGAAAACGAAGUAUAUCAGGAAUGUGGAAGUGCUUGUCCGCCAACUUGUACUAGUCAACCAUCUAUGUGUACAAUGCAAUGUAUAAAGGGUUGUUUUUGCAAAUCUGGUUUUGUAAAAGAUUCAAAUGGUAAAUGCAUCCAUCCAGAAAAAUGUCCUUGAGAGCUAACUGUACAAAACGAAAUGAUAAAGAUUGUGUACGUAUUCAUUUAUCGCAAAUAAAAAUUUGAUUUUAAAAAUCUUA